rnacentral:rRNA from 1 species
GACGAACGCUGGCGGCGUGCUUAACACAUGCAAGUCGAACGAAGAGCGAUGGACGCUUGCUUCUAUCAAUCUUAGUGGCGAACGGGUGAGGAACGCGUAAUCAACCUGCCCUUCAGAGGGGGACAACAGUUGGAAACGACUGCUAAUACCGCAUACGAUCUAAUCUCGGCAUCGAGGAUAGAUGAAAGGUGGCCUCUACAUGUAAGCUAUCACUGAAGGAGGGGAUUGCGUCUGAUUAGCUAGUUGGAGGGGUAACGGCCCACCAAGGCGAUGAUCAGUAGCCGAUCUGAGAGGAUGAACGGCCACAUUGGGACUGAGACACGGCCCAGACUCCUACGGGAGGCAGCAGUGGGGAAUCUUCCGCAAUGGACGAAAGUCUGACGGAGCAACGCCGCGUGAGUGAUGACGGCCUUCGGGUUGUAAAGCUCUGUUAAUCGGGGCGAAAGGCCUUCUUGCGAAUAGUGAGAAGGAUUGACGGUACCGGAAUAGAAAGCCACGGCUAACUAUGUG